GACGGAGGUGGCGAGCGUUGUUCGGAAUCACUGGGCGUAAAGGGCGCGUAGGCGGUAGGUCAAGUCUGAGGUGAAAUCCUUUGGCUAAACGAUAGAACUGCCUUGGAAACUGGUCUACUUGAAUCAGUGAGAGGUGGGUGGAAUUCGUGGUGUAGCGGUGAAAUGCGUAGAUAUCAGGAGGAAAACCGGUUGCGAAGGCGGCCCUCUGGCGCUGUAUUGACGCUGAGGCGCGAAAGCGUGGGGAGCAAACAGG
rnacentral:rRNA from 1 species